AUACGGAGGGUGCGAGCGUUAUCCGGAUUUAUUAGGUUUAAAGGGUGUGUAGGCGGGAGCCUAAGUCAGUGGUGAAAUCUCACAGCUUAACUGUGAAACUGCCAUUGGAACUGGGUUUCUUGAGUAUAGUUGAGGUAGGCGGAAUGUGUAAUGUAGCGGUGAAAUGCAUAGAUAUUACACAGAACACCGAUUGCGAAGGCAGCUUACUAAGCUAUUACUGACGCUGAUGCACGAAAGCGUGGGUAGCGAACAGGAUUAGAAACCCCAGUAGUCC
rnacentral:rRNA from 1 species